UGGGGUGUAGCUCAGUGACAGAGCACUUGCCUAGCAUGUGUGCGGCACUGAGUUCCAUCCUCAGCACCACAU
rnacentral:tRNA from 1 species